AUGUGGACCCAUGAGGGAUUUUCUCUUGCAGAAGGGCUAAAACGUCUCAGUCUUAACUAGCCUUCAACUUCCUGCUCAAUGACCACCUCAUCCAAGAAGCCAUGUGAAGAGUCCUUAGGCACAUUUUUAGAAAGCCUUGGUAUGUUGAGUUCUUAGACAGGAAUCUAAUUCAAAUAUCAAGACAUAAAAACCCAAGGCGGGUCUGGCCUACCCAAGGUCACAGAGCUAAGUCACAAAACCAGGACUAUACCCCAACUCCCCAGACAUCUAUGAGAAUCAGUCUUUCCGCAGCCGUCUGAAACAUGACCACAACUAGUGUUCCAGGCCACCACACCUUAGAAAGCUUUGGGAAACCCUUGGAGCAACCAUUCUGGAAAUCUGCUUUGUAUUUGAGGCUCCUCAAGGUUCCAACAGGAAAAUAAUAAACUGACAUCCUCAGAGGCUGAGUCCUGCCCCUUCCUGUCUGUCUCACACUGCGGGCAGGUGUCUGGGUGGGAAACUGGACACCCUUGUCAGACAGAGCUUCCUGCACUGUCUUGCUCUCGUCUGCCAGCCAGGCCCAGGUCACUCCAUAAGGCGGAUGUGGGGAACAGCUGGUGUCUAUACAGACAAAUAAGGGAGGGAGAAGGGAGGGAGCAGACAGGCAUCAGGCUGGGCCAAGGCAUCACGGAGGCCCUAGCCCUGGGAACGGGGAAGAAAUUUAGGUGGAAACUGGCAAGAAGGAAGACUGGUAGAAGAUGCUGAGUGCUUAACACUGGGCCUGGAGUUCAUGGCAAGAACUCCAUUCCAGGAGGUCGAUGAAGCAAGAAGAUCACCUGUGAGGACCAAGACCCAAGACGCAAGAAGCUUGGGCAAGACGCGAGCCCACUGCAAAAUGAUGUUCCAAGGGGUCGGAGGCAGG